UUAAAUUGAAGAGUUUGAUCAUGGCUCAGAUUGAACGCUGGCGGCAGGCCUAACACAUGCAAGUCGAACGGUAACAGGAAGCAGCUUGCUGCUUCGCUGACGAGUGGCGGACGGGUGAGUAAUGUCUGGGAAACUGCCUGAUGGAGGGGGAUAACUACUGGAAACGGUGGCUAAUACCGCAUAACGUCGCAAGACCAAAGAGGGGGACCUUUGGGCCUCUUGCCAUCAGAUGUGCCCAGAUGGGAUUAGCUUGUUGGUGAGGUAACGGCUCACCAAGGCGACGAUCCCUAGCUGGUCUGAGAGGAUGACCAGCCACACUGGAACUGAGACACGGUCCAGACUCCUACGGGAGGCAGCAGUGGGGAAUAUUGCACAAUGGGCGCAAGCCUGAUGCAGCCAUGCCGCGUGUAUGAAGAAGGCCUUCGGGUUGUAAAGUAC
rnacentral:rRNA from 1 species